rnacentral:rRNA from 1 species
UGGGGAAUAUUGGGCAAUGGGCGAAAGCCUGACCCAGCAACGCCGCGUGAAGGAAGAAGGUUUUCGGAUCGUAAACUUCUAUCCUUGGUGAAGAUAAUGACGGUAGCCAAGAAGGAAGCCCCGGCUAACUACGUGCCAGCAGCCGCGGUAAUACGUAGGGGGCAAGCGUUGUCCGGAAUGAUUGGGCGUAAAGGGCGCGUAGGCGGCCUGGUAAGUCUGGAGUGAAAGUCCUGCUUUUAAGGUGGGAAUUGCUUUGGAUACUGUCGGGCUUGAGUGCAGGAGAGGUAAGUGGAAUUCCCGGUGUAGCGGUGAAAUGCGUAGAGAUCGGGAGGAACACCAGUGGCGAAGGCGACCUGCUGGACAUUAACUGACGCUGAGGCGCGAAAGCGUGGGGAGCAAACA